rnacentral:rRNA from 1 species
CAAUAGCGUAUAUUAAAGUUGUUGCGGUUAAAAAGCUCGUAGUUGGAUUUCUGCCGAGGACGACCGGUCCGCCUUCUGGGUGUGUAUCUGGCUCGGCCUGGGCAUCUUCUUGGAGAACGUUACUGCACUUGACUGUGUGGUGCGGUAUCCAGGACUUUUACUUUGAGGAAAUUAGAUUGUUUCAAGCAGGCACACCCUUGAAUACAUUAGCAUGGAAUAAUAAGAUAGGACUUCGGUUCGUAUUUUGUUUGGUUUCUUAGAGCUGAAGUAAAUGAUUAAUAGGGAUAGUUGGGGGCGAUUCGUAUUUAACUUGUCAGAGGUGAAAUUACUU